rnacentral:tRNA from 1 species
GGCCCCGUGGUCAAACGGUAAGACGCUCGAUUGGCAAGUCGGGAGUUCCCGGUUCAAGUCCGGGCGGGGCCU